AAAACGAAAUAAAGUAUUUACUUAAUAUUCAUGAGCUCCCUGCGUAUGUCGCCGAGCAUAGCAUAGCAGAUAAACAUUAACUAUCCGUUUAAACUUUAUAAUUCGAUUAAAAACAAUCGGGUUUACUGUAUCACUACAUAGUCAUACUAUAUAAUACACAUAUAAUCACAUCUUGUGUCAACUUAACGAGCAGCCUGCGUCUUUUUGGGGGGCGUUAUUAACGAGAGCGACCAUAUCGUGUUGACUUUUUGACAUGUUUCAGCCUGGGUGGAUGCAGUGUGGGAUUUCGAGUUCACGCACACAGACCCUCUUGACCCAGUUAUUGAGGAGGAGAUAAAGGAAGGCCCUGAUGUUUUCAAAACAAUUUACGUGCAGCUUUUGCCCUUCUCCAAUGAGGAGGAUGACAAUACACAGAGUGUCUGGGUGGUGUUCGGUGAGAACGGAGUCUCUGCAAAAACUGUCCUUUCCUACUUCAUCCUUGGUGCUAAAACCAGAAGUCCCAGUCUUGAACAGAGACUAUGUGGUCUACAGGCAGCCUCUCUAUACUUGUUGUUGCUAAAAAUACCUGGUAGUUUAUGUGGUUUUGAGUAUUGUAAAUCACAGUACUUUGCUGGAUAUCUGAUGAGCACACUACUGAGUGCACUGCAGCACUGCAGGGCAUCGACUCCAAGACUGUGAUCCUACUGGGAAAAGUUGCACUCUGGGUGAUGGUUUUUGCAUAUGAUAGAUUUGUCCAGCAUCACCAUGGCACAGUGAGACGGAGAGCUUAUCUGGACUUCUACAGACUGACCCGCAGAAUAAAAAACCUUCCACUGCUCAUUCACUCUGCAGGUGAAAACAUAUGUUUCGCAUUAUGUUAACAUUCCACUCCUGGUCAUUAAGUGAAAAGUUGCUCAUGCUAAUCGAAGUACUCUUUCAGUCACAUGUUAAAUGCUUGUUAGGGUUCACAACUGACCACUAGAUGGCAGCAGAAAAGCUAUUAUUGAAUGUGAGGGACCGAG